CCCCGCCGCCCGCCCCGGACCGCGCCCCCGGCCCGCGCCCCGACCCUCCACCCCGACCCGCCCGUGCCCUGCGGCCGCGUGCGCAGAAACCCCGGCUGAGCGCCGCCGGAGACCGUGAGGCCCACACUUCAAAGGCCUCGACCCCCGGGAGCCCAACUGUUGACCCCAGGCUCAAAGUUCCUAGCCUGACCCCUGACCCUCGCCCCGGAAGUUGGGGUGACUCGGAAGUUCCGGCUCAGUCGCUAGGAAACGAGCCAGCCCGACGCAAGGGGCGGAGCUCUGACCUCCUCGCCGAGUUGGUGAAGGCAGGUGCGGCAGACAGUGACACCCCACUGGUACCAGUAUGCUGGAAACAUGGGUGGGGGGUCAGACCAGUGCCCAGGCAACUGUGCUGCAGCAGGUGAGGGGCAUGGGGCACCAGGGAGGACCCCGACAGGCCAAAGCAGGCAGGAGGAGCCUCCCAGGGAAAUGAACUUGGGGGUCAGCUGUGUGGACUGGGGAGAGGGGUAUUACUCCAGGACCUGACAACACCAUCUGCCAAGGCCGGGACCACAUAGGGUCUGAGGGCGUGGAGGGGUGAGUGCCUUGGGUGGGCUGGGGAGCAGGCUCAGGGGUGGGCUGGGUUCCCAGGGCAGUGGAGAGGCAUGGAGGCUUCAGCAGAGAGGGCCGUGCUCAUGCUUAUGGUGAGAACAAAGACCGUCCCACUGGCAACCCAGCACCUUGGGGCAGUGAGAAGAGUGCUGGACUCCAGAUCCUGGGCCUGGCAGGAUGGGCUGAGCCUGGGGCGGAGGGGCAGGCAAGCCACGGCCGGGGGGAUGGGAUGUGGCCAAGUGCUCUUGCCAGGCAUCCUGGCUCAAGCUUCUGGGCACACACCUGGGGCGGGCAGGCAGACAGGACACCAGCUGGGAAGCCUUGGGGGAGCCCAUGUUCCUGCUGUUAUCCACUCAGGCCCCCGUGGUGUGCCCUGUUCCCCACUGCCGCUGUCCCUGCCCUCUGCCACUCUGAGCACCCCCUCCCUGGUCCUUCCCUACCCACCCCCCAGGAGAAUGCACAGUAAGAAGCGGGGACCCAAAGCUGCAGCUGGGAAGUGGCAGACGCUCCACCCUGGGCCCAAGCCGAGAGCCACUGCUGGGAAGCCCGGUGAGAACCGCCCACUGCAGAGGAAAGCGGGCGGGCAGGCAAGGGAGCCGGCGCCGGCUGAGAGCCCACAGGCCCCUCCAGGUGCCAGGAUAAGGAGCUCAACCCUGUCCUGAGGACGGAAGUAGUGGCAGUUGUUUGAUAAGAGCCACAGGUGCGCGGAAGCACCGCCGCGGAAGGACCCGUGGGAUGUAAGCAGUGGAGCCUGUCCAAUAGAUGGGAAUUUGGCCUUGGCAAGAGGCGGCUGUGAGAGGAAGCGGGGAACACAGGCAAGGUCAGACCCUAGGAAAAUCUGGGGAGGAUGUCCCUUCUGUCACUGAAGGCCAGAACUGGGGCUCUGCCCAGGAUCAUCUCCAAUCAUUCCAGUGUCUUGGUGUCAUUUUCUCCAGGUGCAGGCUCCUGAUGGGAAACCAAGAGGCUGCUCUUCUGCUCUCGGUGUCAGGGAAAGGCAGGGAAGCCCCCAUUUUGCUUUCUGUAGUUUGAGGUGGACUCCUAGCCUUCCUCCAGUACAGCCCUGCCUCACUCGCUCUGCGGGGUGUGGGGCAGACAGGACCAGGAAGCUUCAUCUGGUCGAGGGAAACUCAGACUGGAGGCCACAGGGCCAGGAGCUGCAUCCUGGCUGCACUGACCCUCAGGGCUUCCCAUCAGGAGCCCGCACCUGGAGAAAGUGACACCAAGACACAGGGAGCUCCAUGACUCCUGCCAUGGUGCCUCUUUUUGCUACAAAGUGGGUUUCCGGCUCAGAAGCAGGGCUGCUAGGGGUGCUGGGACCGCACCGGUGGGGUUGGCAGGGGGGAUUCUCCACAUCUGCUAGGAAGUCUAUUUCAGCCAGAACAGGCUGUGUCCCCUUCAGAGCAGCAGGUGUCAAGUGAGACUGCCCUGCCUCCAGACGGUAGGCUCAGGGCUGGGCACUUAGUGUUGAGGAUGUGCGAGGCUCCAGCCCACAGCCGUGGCCACCCAGCUCACGUGCCUUCGGAGGAGUCCAUGCUGCUGACUCAGCGCCUUCUGUGCUUCGGGGACACCUGGUGGCCAUCACAUGGACACGCUAUUUUUGCACUCGGAGGCUAUUCCAGGAAGUCCAUCCAGACAGAGCACGCCUUCCCCAGCCUCCUCCUCUCGGCCUGCAGCCCUGCUCUCCCCACAUGUCUGAUGAUCUGUAAAGAGGGCUUGUUCUGCGUGGGUGGGACUUGCUCUAGAUCAGUCUUGGAAAAGGAGCUCAUGCUGUUGGUGUAGCCACCAUUCCUGCCCCCAUGCCACUCUGCCCCAGGGCCUGCUGGCUGCUGUCCAUGGUGUGGUCAUGAUGUCCACCUGCUUGUCUGUGCCCCGCCGUGGCCGACUCUCUAUAGGGGCGUCCCUGCAGGAUGCAGAGCCUCCCCCUGAGCUUGGCUUUCCCUGCUCCUCACAGACCCAUCCCCCAGCCUUUUCCAACUCUCCGCAUCACCACUGUCUGGGGCCCUGGAGAGCCAGCCCCAGCCCUCACUGGUGUCCGGAGUUAGUGAUACACAGGAAGUGGGUGAUCAGGUGCCCCCGGGGGGCUGUCCCUCACCGCUGCCCCCCAGGACCUCCCUGCAUGGGACUGCAGAGUGCGGGGGAGGUCAGGCUGGAGUUGAUGCCAGCGUGUGGGAGCCUUUCCCAGCCUUUCCUCUGCAUUGGUGCUCUCCCCAGGCAGCAUCUGUGCUGCAAAAGGGGGCAAUGCGAUGGGCCCAGGGACUCACCUGUGUCGUCUGGGCUGGGCCCGCAAACACCGUUCCCACCACGCAGUAGUUGGCUGCUGGGCUGCCCAAGGGCAUGACUGUGGAGCAGGGAAACCCAGCCUGGGAAGGCAGCAUUCCAGGAGCUGCUUUCCAAAAGAAGAAUAGCCUCCACUAGGAAGGUGUGGCUGAGCCCCAGAGCCCCAGAGCCCCAGAAACCUGUGGGAGGCUCCACAGGGGCCUGCCGGAGGCUCCACACCCACCCUACCUCCUGUACACUGGAUCCUCGGGACAGACAGUGUGGUCCAAGCAGCCAGGAAACUUUCACCGUAGCCAGCAGCCCUGGGCCACACUGGGGACGGCGAGCCUCUGGGCCUCUCAGUCAGCGGGUGGGGCAGUGACCCCAAACACAGCCUGUGCUGCUGCCACGGUGCUAAGGGGCCUGCCGAGCAUGGGGUCUUUCUUGCUGGAUGGAGGCACAGGUGCCAGAAUCUGUCUUUUGCCCUGUGGUGUCCUGGCACAGCCUAGAUCUAUGGACCCCUUCACCGGGUGCUUUAUCCCCCGCCCCCCAGAACUCCGGGGACCAUUGAGAUGCCCAGGAGAUGGGGGGUUCCUGUGCCUGUGUCCCCUUGCCGCUGUAGCAGCCGCCACAUCUACCAGCUCUGCAGGGUGGCCACUAGGCAUGGCCUUGGCAGGCUGACGUGGAGGAAAGCCAGCCGUGCUGCAGGUUUCCUUCCCUCUGGCUCUCCACUUCUGCCUCCCUCUUCCACUGUUUUUGGUUUGGGUUUUUUAAUGUUUUGUUUUGUUUUUUUGAGACGGGGUCAGCUGUCUUGCCCAGGCUGGAGUUCAGGGACUAUUCCCAGGCGUAACCCCAGCUCACUGCAGCCUCCACCUCUUGGGCUCAAGUGAUCCUCCCGCCUCAGCCUAAGUAGCUGGGACUACAGGUGUGUGCUCACAUGUCCGGCAAGCCUCUUUCAGUGUCACGAUAGGUUUUUCUCCAUCUUUUUUUCAUCUUUGGACUUGGGCUGUUUGACUUGAGUCUUCCAGUCUGGAUUUUGCUGUUAAGAUGGAAAACUUAAGAGACUGCGUCUUUGUUUAGCAUUUAGACAUACGGCCCCCGCUUCAUUUGCUCAGUGGAAUUACAAUUGCACUUGGAAAUGCAUCGUCUUGGGUGUGUUCUUUAAGCUGAACUUUUGUAGAUCUGGCAUUUAACACCAGGCCAUGAAGCCUGCUUCAGAAGUGACUGAAACAUCUGCCUUAUAGUGUGUGUUUUAAAAAAUCAUUUUGUCAUAUGAAUAAUUACACUGCCAUUUACAGAGAAAUGAGGUCAGAAACAUUCGUUUCAUAUGUUGUAGUUUUUAGUUUCUGAAUACCUAUUGGAUUCUUUUUCUUUUUUUUUGAGAUGGAGUUUCCCUCUGUUGCCAGGCUGGAGUGCACUGGGGGUUGGCUCACUGCAGCCUCCUCCUCCCAGGUUCAGGCAAUUCUGCCUCAGCCUCCUGAGAAGCUGGAACUACAGGUGUGUGCCACCACACC